rnacentral:snoRNA from 1 species
AUUUCAUGAUAUGGACAUCUUCUCAGUAGUUCUUUAAACCUCUCCCAAGCUUCAUACAAGGAUUCAUCAUUAAAUUGUGUAUAUGAGGUGAUAUCAUUCCUCAUGUU